rnacentral:rRNA from 1 species
UCAAGUGAAGAAGCGCAUACGGUGGAUGCCUUGGCAGUCAGAGGCGAUGAAAGACGUGGUAGCCUGCGAAAAGCUUCGGGGAGUCGGCAAACAGACUUUGAUCCGGAGAUCUCUGAAUGGGGGAACCCACCUAGGAUAACCUAGGUAUCUUGUACUGAAUCCAUAGGUGCAAGAGGCGAACCAGGGGAACUGAAACAUCUAAGUACCCUGAGGAAAAGAAAUCAACCGAGAUUCCCUUAGUAGUGGCGAGCGAACGGGGAUUAGCCCUUAAGCUUCAUUGAUUUUAGCGGAACGCUCUGGAAAGUGCGGCCAUAGUGGGUGAUAGCCCCGUACGCGAAAGGAUCUUUGAAGUGAAAUCGAGUAGGACGGAGCACGAGAAACUUUGUCUGAACAUGGGGGGACCAUCCUCCAAGGCUAAAUACUACUGACUGACCGAUAGUGAACCAGUACCGUGAGGGAAAGGCGAAAAGAACCCCGGAGAGGGGAGUGAAAUAGAACCUGAAACCGUAUGCGUACAAGCAGUGGGAGCCUACUUGUUAGGUGACUGCGUACCUUUUGUAUAAUGGGUCAGCGACUUAUAUUCAGUGGCAAGCUUAACCGUAUAGGGUAGGCGUAGCGAAAGCGAGUCUUAAUAGGGCGUUUAGUCGCUGGGUAUAGACCCGAAACCGGGCGAUCUAUCCAUGAGCAGGUUGAAGGUUAGGUAACACUGACUGGAGGACCGAACCCACUCCCGUUGAAAAGGUAGGGGAUGACUUGUGGAUCGGAGUGAAAGGCUAAUCAAGCUCGGAGAUAGCUGGUUCUCCUCGAAAGCUAUUUAGGUAGCGCCUCAUGUAUCACUCUGGGGGGUAGAGCACUGUUUCGGCUAGGGGGUCAUCCCGACUUACCAAACCGAUGCAAACUCCGAAUACCCAGAAGUGCCGAGCAUGGGAGACACACGGCGGGUGCUAACGUCCGUCGUGAAAAGGGAAACAACCCAGACCGCCAGCUAAGGUCCCAAAGUUGUGGUUAAGUGGUAAACGAUGUGGGAAGGCUUAGACAGCUAGGAGGUUGGCUUAGAAGCAGCCAUCCUUUAAAGAAAGCGUAAUAGCUCACUAGUCGAGUCGGCCUGCGCGGAAGAUGUAACGGGGCUCAAACCACACACCGAAGCUGCGGGUGUCACGUAAGUGACGCGGUAGAGGAGCGUUCUGUAAGCCUGUGAAGGUGAGUUGAGAAGCUUGCUGGAGGUAUCAGAAGUGCGAAUGCUGACAUGAGUAACGACAAUGGGUGUGAAAAACACCCACGCCGAAAGACCAAGGGUUCCUGCGCAACGUUAAUCGACGCAGGGUUAGUCGGUUCCUAAGGCGAGGCUGAAAAGCGUAGUCGAUGGGAAACAGGUUAAUAUUCCUGUACUUCUGGUUACUGCGAUGGAGGGACGGAGAAGGCUAGGCCAGCUUGGCGUUGGUUGUCCAAGUUUAAGGUGGUAGGCUGAAAUCUUAGGUAAAUCCGGGGUUUCAAGGCCGAGAGCUGAUGACGAGUCGUCUUUUAGAUGACGAAGUGGUUGAUGCCAUGCUUCCAAGAAAAGCUUCUAAGCUUCAGGUAACCAGGAACCGUACCCCAAACCGACACAGGUGGUCGGGUAGAGAAUACCAAGGCGCUUGAGAGAACUCGGGUGAAGGAACUAGGCAAAAUGGCACCGUAACUUCGGGAGAAGGUGCGCCGGCUAGGGUGAAGGAUUUACUCCGUAAGCUCUGGCUGGUCGAAGAUACCAGGCCGCUGCGACUGUUUAUUAAAAACACAGCACUCUGCAAACACGAAAGUGGACGUAUAGGGUGUGACGCCUGCCCGGUGCCGGAAGGUUAAUUGAUGGGGUUAGCGCAAGCGAAGCUCUUGAUCGAAGCCCCGGUAAACGGCGGCCGUAACUAUAACGGUCCUAAGGUAGCGAAAUUCCUUGUCGGGUAAGUUCCGACCUGCACGAAUGGCGUAACGAUGGCGGCGCUGUCUCCACCCGAGACUCAGUGAAAUUGAAAUCGCUGUGAAGAUGCAGUGUAUCCGCGGCUAGACGGAAAGACCCCGUGAACCUUUACUGUAGCUUUGCACUGGACUUUGAGCCUGCUUGUGUAGGAUAGGUGGGAGGCUUUGAAGCGUGGACGCCAGUUCGCGUGGAGCCAUCCUUGAAAUACCACCCUGGCAUGCUUGA